GGGCGGGUAGCUCAGCGGCAGAGCGUCGGCCUUACAAGCCGGUGGUCGCAGGUUCGACCCCUGUCCCGCCCACCC
rnacentral:tRNA from 1 species